UCCCCCAGCAAUGAGCAAAACAUCAUCUUGCUGUUGAUGUUGUUUUUAUAUCAGUCAGAGGCAGAGUAGAUUACAGCUCUUUGUUCAUCCUAGCUUGAUGCCUGUCUUGGUGACCAAAGCUCUCUUAUGCCUAGGACUCAUGA